AAAUUUGGGCAAUGGGCGAAAGCCUGACCCAGCGACGCCGCGUGGGGGAUGAAGCUUCUCGGAGUGUAAACCCCUGUUAGGUGGGACGAAAGCCCGUAUAUUAACAGUAGGCGGGUUUGACGGUACCACCAGAGGAAGCUCCGGCUAACUCCGUGCCAGCAGCCGCGGUAAUACGGGGGGAGCAAGCGUUGUUCGGAGUUAUUGGGCGUAAAGGGCGUACAGGCGGUGGUGUAAGUCAGAUGUGAAAUCCCCCGGCUCAACCGGGGACCUGCAUUUGAUACUGCAUCGCUUGAGUACAGGAGAGGAGAGCGGAAUUUUCGGUGUAGCGGUGGAAUGUGUAGAUAUCGAAAAGAACACCAGUGGCGAAGGCGGCUCUCUGGCCUGAUACUGACGCUGACGCGCGAAAGCUAGGGGAGCAAACAGGAUUAGAUACCCUGGUAGUCCUAGCUGUA
rnacentral:rRNA from 1 species